UGUGCUUGAUUUAGGAAGAAGAAAAGCAGUGAACAUUUGACAAAUGUUCAGACAUGGAAGGAACUUGAACUGUGAUUGAAAUACA